rnacentral:rRNA from 1 species
UACAGAGGUCUCAAGCGUUGUUCGGAUUCAUUGGGCGUAAAGGGUGCGUAGGCGGCGCGGUAAGUCGGGUGUGAAAUCUUGGAGCUUAACUCCGAAACUGCAUUCGAUACUGCCGUGCUUGAGGACUGGAGAGGAGACGUGGAAUUUACGGUGUAGCGGUGAAAUGCGUAGAUAUCGUAAGGAAGACCAGUGGCGAAGGCGGGUCUCUGG